rnacentral:lncRNA from 1 species
AAACACAUGGGCUAGUGGGGUCCGUAUCAGUUGCAUUUCCAGAACGAUGGCACUGAACACGCUACACUCCGACUUUCAGUGGUGCAGCGGGACGGCCAACAGAGGGCGCGCAUCCACCCCCGUCUCCCGUCCACCCAGAGGCCAAGGGCCCUGCAGUGCCCCCGCCGCCAGCAGAGUGCACGCCAGCCCAGCUUUUCUUAUCCCAGAGGCCAACGCACCCUCCCGCUUCCUCAGCACAGGCCCCCUGGCUGGGCGGGAGCUGCAUUCUCAGCGCAGACCGCCGGACGCCCCUUGCUUUUGUACACCUGGAGCCUGCGUCCACGACGGAGUCUUGCUUUGUCACGCAGGCUGGAGUGCAGUAGCGCCAUCUCAGCUCACUGCAAACUUCACCUCGCGGAUUGGAGUGAUCCUCCUGCCUCAGCCUCCUGAGGAGCUGGGAUUACAGGUGCGUGCCACCGUGCCCUACUAAUUUUUGUAUUUUCAGUAGAGACAGGUGUUCUUCAUGUUGGUCAGGCUGGUCUCGAACUGUCAACUUCAGGUGAUCUGCUCACCUCAGCCUCCCAAAGUGCUGGGAUUACAGUUGCGAGCCACUGUACCCUACUACUCCCAGGCAUUUUAGUUUUCUUUCUUUUUUUAUUUUUGAGAUGGGAUCUUGCUAUGUCAGCCAGGCUGGAGUGCAGUGGUUUGAUAUUGACUCACUGCUACCUCUACCUCCUGAGUUCAAGCAGUUUUCCUGCCUCAGCCUCCCAAGUAGCUGAGAUUCCAAGUGCAUGCCAGCAAGCCCGGGUAAUUUUCAUCUUUUUAGUAGAGAUGGGGUUUUGCCAUAUUGGCCAAGCUGGUCUUGAACUCCUAACCUCAAGUGAUCUGUCCGCCUUGGCCUCCCAAAGUGCUGGGAUUACAGGUGUGAACCACCAUGCCUGGCCUUUCUUUUUUGAGACAGGGUCUUGUGCUGUCUCCCAGGCUGGAGUGCAAGGGUGUGAUCUUGGCUUACUGUGACUUCCACAUUCUGGGCUCAAGCAAUCCUCCCAUCUCAGCCUCUCAAAUAGCUGGGACUACAAGUAUGUGCCACCAUGCCCAGCUAAUUUUUGUAUUUCUAGUAGAGUUGGGGUUUUGCUAUGUCGUCCUGGAUGGUCUUGA